GCUGACUGCAGCAAUAGAACUGCUAGAUGUUUUUCUCUCUGACUGGUGUCGUGCAGAACAGAAAGGACAGCAAAGCUGGAGGAAUCGACCAGUUUCACAGGAGAGACAAAAAUCUAAAAUACAAAUGGCUCACAGCUCCAAAGACCUUAUCGCACAUGGAAUAAGUGGAAAGGAAAUCAAUCUUCAAUGGAAAGAAACAACCUCAGAACAGGAAGGAAGAGAGGAAAACCUAAGAAGUAUCUCCUCUCAUUUUCUAGUUCACAUUCCUGAUCUGGCAAUGGUUGGAACAGACUAUCUUCUGAGCCAAUAGAUGUGCUGGACUAAUCUGGAGCCCAGAGUCCAGCUGCAAAAGAGAUUGGCUGGUCUCUGAACAGCUCUAAUGCAUGCUGUUGCAGCAUCCACCCUGCUAAGGCCACAUCAGAAGAAUUUCAGACUAAUUUUACCAACUAUUCUGUCUCAAACAAUGUUGAAUAUUUGACUUCAUAGGGGAAGAAACAAUAACAACAACAACAAAAGAGCGGGUAGCAACAAUAAAAUAAAACACUCUAUUGCUUGUUCAUCUCUUCCAACAACUGAAUAAUUAGUCUCCCAAAAAGAAAAUGUGCUCCUUGAUUAUCUAUUUUAUUAUGUACUUUAACUGUAUGGAUUUGAAACUGAUUUAUCAUGCAGGCACAUAUUGCAGCUUUUGAACUAUGGUUAAAGUAGCAUUUUGCCCAAAUGUCAAA